UACGGAGGGGGCUAGCGUUGUUCGGAAUUACUGGGCGUAAAGGGCACGUAGGCGGACUGUUAAGUCGGGGGUGAAAUCCUGGGGCUCAACCUCAGAAUUGCCUCCGAUACUGGCAGUCUCGAGUGCGGGAGAGGUGAGUGGAAUUCCCAGUGUAGAGGUGAAAUUCGUAGAUAUUGGGAAGAACACCGGUGGCGAAGGCGGCGCUCUGGACCGAGACUGACGCUGAGGCGCGAAAGCGUGGGGAGCAAACAGG
rnacentral:rRNA from 1 species